UUCACAGCCGUGGAGAUUGAAGUCCGUCAUCUUGCCAUAGGACAGGGACAGCAUGGGGAGUGGCAGUGCAAGCUUUGCUGCCAAGAUGUGCCAGCAUUUUCCUGAAGGGACCACCUUAAAGAAUGUGAAAGGGUAGCUCAUUUUUCAUGCCAGUUCAAUUCUUGAUCUCA
ensembl:misc_RNA